ACGGAGGGUGCAAGCGUUGUCCGGAAUUACUGGGCGUAAAGCGCGUGUAGGCGGUCUGUUAUGUCGGGUGUGAAAUCCCCAGGCUCAACCUGGGAACUGCGCUCGAAACUGGCAGACUUGAGUGCGGAAGGGGAAGGUGGAAUUCCCGGUGUAGAGGUGAAAUUCGUAGAUAUCGGGAAGAAUACCGGUGGCGAAGGCGACCUUCUGGUCCGCAACUGACGCUGAGACGCGAAAGCGUGGGGAGCAAACAG
rnacentral:rRNA from 1 species